rnacentral:rRNA from 1 species
GUUGAACGCUGGCGGCAGGCCUAACACAUGCAAGUCGAGCGGUUGAGGGGAGCUUGCUCCCUGAUUCAGCGGCGGACGGGUGAGUAAUGCCUAGGAAUCUGCCAAUUAGUGGGGGACAACGUUUCGAAAGGAACGCUAAUACCGCAUACGUCCUACGGGAGAAAGCAGGGGACCUUCGGGCCUUGCGCUAAUAGAUGAGCCUAGGUCGGAUUAGCUAGUUGGUGAGGUAAUGGCUCACCAAGGCGACGAUCCGUAACUGGUCUGAGAGGAUGAUCAGGCACACUGGAACUGAGACACGGUCCAGACUCCUACGGGAGGCAGCAGUGGGGAAUAUUGGACAAUGGGCGAAAGCCUGAUCCAGCCAUGCCGCGUGUGAAGAAGGUCUUCGGAUUGUAAAGCACUUUAAGUUGGGAGGAAGGGCAGUAAGUUAAUACCUUGCUGUUUUGACGUUACCGACAGAAUAAGCACCGGCUAACUCUGUGCCAGCAGCCGCGGUAAAAC